rnacentral:rRNA from 1 species
GACUUGGGUAGGUACCUCUUUGGGACACUCGUGAACAGGUGGUGCAUGGUUGUCGUCAGCUCGUGUCGUGAGAUGUUGGGUUAAGUCCCGCAACGAGCGCAACCCUCGUUCUAUGUUGCCAGCACGUAAUGGUGGGAACUCAUGGGAUACUGCCGGGGUCAACUCGGAGGAAGGUGGGGAUGACGUCAAAUCAUCAUGCCCCUUAUGUCUUGGGCUUCACGCAUGCUACAAUGGCCGGUACAAAGGGCUGCAAUACCGUGAGGUGGAGCGAAUCCCAAAAAGCCGGUCCCAGUUCGGAUUGAGGUCUGCAACUCGACCUCAUGAAGUCGGAGUCGCUAGUAAUCGCAGAUCAGCAACGCUGCGGUGAAUACGUUCCCCGGCCUUGUAACACCGAGGACUUGCAGCA